ACCCACCAGCUUCAGUCAAAGGGAUGACUUCAGUCCCUUUCUUAACUAAUCCUGUCACUGUAAAAUCCUACAGUCAUUCUUCCAACAUAAAGGGAAAACGGACUCACUAGGAGGACCUAGACUCUUUCAGCUUGAACUGUUAACCAAUGGUGGAAAUGCAAGAAUGCUGAAGUUGUGCCUUCAGAGCCAAUAGAGUGGAUUUGUGUGUCCCACAUGACUGUGUUUCCCCUGUCUUUCACAUGGGCAGUAUUUAGUUCAAUUCAGAACUGCAGAUAGUAUAGCGUGCAGAGCAGCAAUGGGAUGUCUGAGCACAAGUGGCUGACUUCCAGGCGACUUCAGGAAGCAUAUUUGUACAUUUCUCCCGAAUUAAACUGGGAUUCUGCACCCUUGACAUUCUCCAACCCUCCCUAGCGCUGGAGAAGGAGACAGCGACCUGCACAGCACAACAAAACUACAGAUCACCACAGAGCUGCAAACCAGCAAUGAAGGGAGCUGAGGGCAAUUUGACCAUCAUCCACUGUGUCGGUUCCCCAGAAGUCGAUGAAACAUGUAAUCAGGUCUCCAAGACCACAAGCCUCAGAAGACACUCUGGAAGAAACACACUGGGCCAACCCAUCCUGUUGAUAUGACACAAAGUACAGUCCAGUUUGGUAUUCUUUCCACUCUGAAGAAGUCUCACAUCAGGAGAGGAAGAAAAAACACCACAAAAACAAACUGCUUUCCUCAUGGAAACUUUGGACAACAUUUGGCAUGACAAGUUCAAAGGGCUAAUUCAUCUGCAUUAUGAGCAUCCAGGUGUCAGCUGGUGUAAAUGCAGAUGCCACUGACGUCAAUGGAGCUGUGUCAGUUUACUCUAGCUGAGAAUCUGAUCCCAGCUACGCUACUGCCAUUUUUAGAUGCUGCCACUGGAAUUCCCUUUUGCAAGACAAUUAAAAAAACACAUCCACACAUUGCAUUUCUUCCUGUCCCCAAGUGUAUAACUGGAAGUCUGUUGACAGACUGUGGAAGAAGACAAGUGGGAGUUGGAAGCAGCCAACAACUGCAUCCAUGAGAUAACUUUGCAGUAUCAGUAUGAACACUGUUCUGUUGUCUUCCUUUUAUACAAAUGAAUAUUUGGCUUCAAGAAGUUUUAACUCCACCUUCCACUAACAAACAAAUCCAUGUCAGCAAAAGAAAAAUGAUGCUGUAAAUCAUGUGGAGUAUCUACAUUAUAAAUCUGUUAGCAUGGUACUUUAACCAGUAUAAAAUCUGGAUAGACUGUUCUAUUUUCCCCUUAGAAAAAGCACCUAAAGCUACAAGACCCCCAAGGCUGAGUUCUGUGCAUUCACCUCAGUAUUUGUUCCUAAGUAUUCUCCCUGCUGUACCAGCAAUAAGAUCGGUAACAGCUCUAAGGCAGCUGUUCGAAGUGGCCUGCAAGCCAGCCUUCUAUCUGGCUGACAUCUUUCAUAUCUCAUCUAGCAUUUGUGUGGGCAAGAGAGGAGGAAGAAAGGAAAAGUUGGGGCAAUAAGCAGGGCAGAGUAGUACUUGACAGCUCCACCGUUUCUAAGCAGGGAGAGGGAGCUUUUGUCUCGUUCACGUAAGGCAGUUAUUAACAUGAGUGCAUUUUAUAACAGUUGCCCAGUAUUAAGGAGUGCAAUGAGGUUGGAAUGUUGGUCUUUUGAUUCAACAUAGUAAGGUCAAAAUGGAGAAGGUAAUUAAUUAGAACUGAAGCUGCAGUUUACAUAGUAUUGAAGUAAUUGUCUAUUUGUGCAGCACAACAGCCAUAUUUUCAAUUUAGGUCAGGCCAUCAAGAGGAGGAAAAGGACUGAAGAUGAGAUGCUCUACUUCACACAGUUGCCCUCUGGAAGGACUUGCAAAGGCAGUCACUUAAAUUAAGUACAGGUCAUCAGACAAGCUAUCUAAUCUAUUCCUAAGACAGGCAGCUCUGGCAGACCAAAUCCCUAUGGCUUUUGCAGCAACACUAUGAACUACUUCCUCAUGUACCUCUGUCAAUUCACAUUAGGUUCCAGUUUUUUAAAGUGAUAUUUCAUGUACAUCAUGGUCCUAUUGCUCAAAGCAGGGGAAGUGCUUUGGUUUAUUUAUGACAUACUAACCUUAAAAAAAAAUACACCCGAUCUGAAUGUUAGCAUAAGCAUGCAGAUCUGAAAUAAAAUUUAAAAUAAAGCUGGCAUUUGUAACAGCUAGCUAAGCCCUGUAAGGGAUUAAAAAAAAAAAAAAAAAGAAAAAUGAAAACCAGAUGAAAGAAUAUUCACCCUGCAUAACUGGUACACACCAGGAGUCAGGGCUGGAACCCAGAAAUACCUUUUGUACAUAGAAGUUUCAGCCCAUUUCAGAGGCUAGGUGACCAAGGAAAUACUGAGGUUUUCCAUGGUGGAGGGCAGAGAGGAAUUAAUAAAAACUUGUGAAAGUAAUUUCUUCUAAGAUGUAAUCCACCUGGCCACAAGCCCUACACAGCUCCUCUCCUUUCCCUGCACCCCAUCCCAGCUGCCAGAUAUGAGCCAGGCAAGCCCCCAUACUGAAAUAUGAAGGGACAGACGGAAGCAGGGAAUAAGGGCAUAGGAAUGAGUACUGAAAGAAAUGACAUACAUAAAACAAGCUUGUAAUAAGGCAGAUCUUAAACAUGAGCAACCCUAAAGUUAAUUCAUUUGGCUAGAACAAUGUUGAACUGAUGCACAUAAGACUGAGCUGGAGAGCCUUAUUCUCUCAUCACUCAUGCUAGUGUGCAGAGGUCUUCUCCUAACAUCCAUGGAACUAAACCUUUGAAAUUUCAGUACAAAUAAAUGGAGAAAUAAAAAUAAUCAAAGCUAAAUUAUUGGCAGCAAAUAUCCCAUGCUGCUGUAUUGGGAAAGAAAGUGAGCUGCCACAUACAAUUAAAAUGUAUUUGAUUUAGCUAUAUUCAUUAUCACAGUGGCCUAAACAAAACACAUCUAAUCUAGCAUAAAGAAGAAAAUUUGUUGAUUCUACUCUUGUGUGGUUCUCCAGUAGACUAUAUUAAUGAAUUUUUCUUUUAGUGGUAUUAGAUAGAAAAUACAGUUGAGUUAAAUGACAUAAUAAAUACCUCUGUACACAUAGCAACUAGUUGAAAGAAACAGUUAGGAGAAAGUACUUGUCAUAUGUUUGUUCACAAAAUAGGCACGGGAGCACACGGAUGAACUCCAGUCCUUUAGUGUGGCUUCCCUUAACACAAAUACAGACAAAAUCCCAAACAUUUAUAAAGCCUUAUAAAUAACAAUGGAUGAGUGAGAGAGAGUAGAGGGCAUCUUUAACCAAAGGAUAAGGUAAACAAACAGCAAUUCAUAUAAGUCAAUGAAUGAGUCACAU